rnacentral:rRNA from 1 species
CUAGCAUAUCAAUAAGCGGAGGAAAAGAAACCAACAGGGAUUGCCCCAGUAACGGCGAGUGAAGCGGCAACAGCUCAAAUUUGAAAUCUGGCCCCCAGGGUCCGAGUUGUAAUUUGCAGAGGAUGCUUUUGGCAAGGUGCCUUCCGAGUUCCCUGGAACGGGACGCCAUAGAGGGUGAGAGCCCCGUCUGGUUGGAUACCGAGCCUCUGUAAAGCUCCUUCGACGAGUCGAGUAGUUUGGGAAUGCUGCUCUAAAUGGGAGGUAUAUGUCUUCUAAAGCUAAAUAUUGGCCAGAGACCGAUAGCGCACAAGUAGAGUGAUCGAAAGAUGAAAAGCACUUUGAAAAGAGGGUUAAAUAGUACGUGAAAUUGUUGAAAGGGAAGCGCUCAUGACCAGACUUGGGCCCGGUGAAUCAUCCAGCGCUCGUCGCUGGUGCACUUUGCCGGGCUCAGGCCAGCAUCAGUUCGCUCCGGGGGACAAAGGCUCUGGGAAUGUGGCUCCUCCGGGAGUGUUAUAGCCCACUGCGCAAUACCCUGGGGCGGACUGAGGUUCGCGCAUUCGUGCAAGGAUGCUGGCGUAAUGGUCAUCAGUGACCCGUCUUGAAACACGGACCAAGGAGUCGUCUUCGUAUGCAAGUGUUCGGGUGUAAAACCCCUACGCGUAAUGAAAGUGAACGCAGGUGAGAGCUUCGGCGCAUCAUCGACCGAUCCUGAUGUUCUCGGAUGGAUUUGAGUAAGAGCAUACGGGGCCGGACCCGAAAGAAGGUGAACUAUGCCUGUAUAGGGUGAAGCCAGAGGAAACUCUGGUGGAGGCUCGCAGCGGUUCUGACGUGCAAAUCGAUCGUCAAAUAUGGGCAUGGGGGGCGAAAGACUAAUCGAACCUUCUAGUAGCUGGUUUCCGCCGA